rnacentral:rRNA from 1 species
UACGUAGGGGCCUAGCGUUGUCCGGAAUUAUUGGGCGUAAAGAGCUCGUAGGCGGUUUGGUAAGUCGGGUGUGAAAUCUCCACGCUCAACGUGGAGGGGCCACCCGAUACUGCCAUGACUGGAGUCCGGUAGGGGAGUGUGGAAUUCCCGGUGUAGCGGUGAAAUGCGCAGAUAUCAGGAGGAACACCGGUGGCGAAGGCGGGUCUCUGGGCCGUAACUGACGCUGAGGAGCGAAAGCGUGGGGAGCGAACAGG